AUGCAUCUAUUUGACAGACCUGGAACAGUUACUGUGUGCUGCUUGCUAGGUUUUCCCUCCAGAUGUAAGAAAAAAUUGUCUUUUUAUUUUCUCUCUGAUCAUGGCAGCCAAGAUUGAGUGGGGGAAUACAGGA
ensembl:snoRNA